CCAUAGUUUUAAAAGAAGACUUACUCCAUCCAAGAAAACUUUUACAGAUGACAGGAGGGCCUGGAGGUAUAGCCUGCUCCUGGAAGUGGUGGGCAGCUGAAGCCAAGAUGACAAAGGAGAAGAUUAGAGGUACCAGAGACCUAACCAAGCCAUGGACCUGAAAGAUGAAAAGUGAGUGCCAGGACCUGCCCUGCUGUCCCGGGAGCGCGCGAAUAACUCCUCCCAAUAUAAAAGAAAGGACGUUUUUAACAUCCAAGUGUUGGAAGGACACUGGGGCAGUGACUGCCCUGCAUUCAGCACAAGCCACAGACGGACUACAGUUCCCAGCGUACCUUGCAGUUACACGGGCCCUGGGGAUAGGGCGGAACUGAGGCUCACUGCUCGCGGCCCUGGCCGGUAAAAACCCCCACAAUCCUCCUCACUUUCAUCCCCCACAAUCCUCCUCACUCUCAUCCUCCACGUGUGGAGGCAGGUGCUAAGCUUCCCGCGAAAGACCGGGUUCCCGGGUAGUGGCUGAGUCACAGGGUAGCAGGAGCCGGAGUGCCCACAAGGCCAUGUGGAAGGCCACUGUCAACCCGGAAUAUUUUCACUGGAUUCUGAGUGGGCGAGUGUGGAGCCGUAACUGACUUCUGAGGAGGGGACAGUGGCCUGCAGUAUGCUACUGAUAUCUCUGGGAGCUAGAUGAGGCUCCUUCUGGGAAAGAGGAAGUAAACUGGAAGCCGGAACCA